rnacentral:rRNA from 1 species
UGUUUCCAUUAAUCAAGAACGAAAGUUAGAGGUUCGAAGGCGAUCAGAUACCGCCCUAGUUCUAACCAUAAACGAUGCCAGCCAGCGAUCCGGCUGUGUUCCUCAAAUGACACGCCGGGCAGCUUCCGGGAAACCAAAGCUUUUGGGUUCCGGGGGAAGUAUGGUUGCAAAGCUCAAACUUAAAGGAAUUGACGGAAGGGCACACAAGGAUUGGAGCCUGCGGCUUAAUUUGACUCAACACGGGAAAGCCUACCCGGUCCGGACACAGGAAGGAUUGACAGAUUAAGAGCUCUUUCUUGAUUCUGUGGGUGGUGGUGCAUGGCCGCUCUUAGUUGGUGGAGCGAUUUGUCUGGUUCAUUCCGAUAACGAACGAGACCCUAGCCUACUAAAUAGACGUUCCGAUCCUUGGAGUCGGACGGUUCUUCUUAGAGGGACAAGCGGCGUCUAGCCGCGCGAGGCAGGGCUAUAGCAGGUCUGUGAUGCCCUUAGAUGUCCGGGGCCGCACGCGCGCUACAUUGAAGGGAUCAGCGUGUGCUUUCCCGGUCCGACAGGACUGGGUAACCCGUUGAAUUUCCUUCGUGAUAGGGAUAGAGAGUUGUAACUUUCUCUCUUGAACGAGGAAUUCCCAGUAAGCGCGAGUCAUUAGCUCGUGUUGAUUACGUCCCUGCCCUUUGUACACACCGCCCGUCGCUAGCAGCAAUUGAAUGCUUUAGUGAGGUCUUCGGACUGGCGCUCGGACUGGCCCUCGGGCCGGCCGCGGUGCCGGGAAGAUGACCGAACUUGAUUAUUUAGAGCAGCUAAAAGUCGUAACAAGGUUU